CAGAAAAAGCAAAUGAAAUGACCCGUGACUGAACAAGGAAGGGACACCAUCUUUUGUCUUCAUCUCGCACAUGUCUUUACUGAUCCUGAAACAAAGCAACAACCACAGAAGUCAGUAAAGGAAACAAAGCAAAAUAAUAAAGCAAACAAGUUAAUCUAAAGCUAACAAACCAUCAAGACAACAUUUCAGAUAACAGUUUUGUUUUCAGUGCUAAUUCCAUAUCAGACAGUGGCUCAGCCUUCGCAGCCUUAACCCCAAUUGGUCUAUCUUCUGGUUCUGCAACCGGAGUAUCCGCGGUUUUGCGCUUAUCCUUGUCCUUCUCCAGAUAGGUGGAGCACCAUUUGACAUCAUGCCUAAGCUCCCUCCACGCGUGUUCCAAGUUGAACUUCAUGUUCUGGUCACUGUUGAAGAUAUCCAAGGCAGCCUUCAUCACAUCGUUGUCAUUUUGACCGCUUCUCUGCUUCCUCUUGGCACUGUCCCAACGAGAAGAGGACUGGAGUUGUAGAACUCGACAAUCCUCUUCCAGAAGGCUGCACCUUUUUGUUCGUUACCAACGAUUGCGUCUUUGCUAGUGUUGAGCCAAGCACCCACCAGGAUUAAAUUCUCCUUCACAGACUACUUUCUCCUCUCUUUGACACUUGGUUCUUGCGGUGUUUGGGUAGGAGUUUGGGGACUAAACAAAGGAGUCUCUGCAGAGUCAAGGUCGACUGACCCUUGGCUCGCUAAGAGAUUAACAAAACUAGAGCUUGCCAUUUAAGAUGAAGUGUGAUUCUCUCCUAGUAUUCUACUACAAUUAAAUAAGGGAUUCUACAUUGAAUCCUAGUAGAAAACUGUCUUAUCAGAACAGCUACAAGCAAUUUAAUGAAGUUUUACUAUCCAAAAUGCAGUUAGGGUCUAUUUAAUGAAGUAUUUUUUUCCUAA